UCUACGGGGGGCAGCAGUGGGGAAUAUUGCACAAUGGGGGAAACCCUGAUGCAGCGACGCCGCGUGAGUGAAGAAGUAUUUCGGUACGUAAAGCUCUAUCAGCAGGGAAGAAAAAAAGUCCUUUGGACUUUGGACGGUACCUGACUAAGAAGCCCCGGCUAACUACGUGCCAGCAGCCGCGGUAAUACGUAGGGGGCAAGCGUUAUCCGGAUUUACUGGGUGUAAAGGGAGCGUAGACGGCAGCGCAAGUCUGGAGUGAAAUGCCGGGGCCCAACCGCAGAACUGCAUUUGAAACUGUUGAUCUUGAGUACUGGAGAGGCAGACGGAAUUCCUAGUGUAGCGGUGAAAUGCGUAGAUAUUAGGAGGAACACCAGUGGCGAAGGCGGUCUGCUGGACAGCAACUGACGGUGAGGCGCGAAAGCGUGGGGAGCAAACAGGAUUAGAUACCCGUGUAGUC
rnacentral:rRNA from 1 species